rfam:Triticum aestivum genome assembly, contig: Triticum_aestivum_CS42_TGACv1_scaffold_406722_5BL
UGUGUACUCCCUCCGUUCCAAAAUACUUGACUUCCAUUUGUCCAAAUAUGGAUGUACCUAUGUACUCAAACAUGUCUAGAUACAUAUAUAUUUUGACAAAUAGAAGGCAUGUAUUGUGCAAUGGAGGGAGUAGAAU